rnacentral:rRNA from 1 species
GAGGACCGGAGUGGACGAACCUCUGGUGCACCGGUUGUCACGCCAGUGGCAUGGCCGGGUAGCUAAGUUCGGACGGGAUAACCGCUGAAAGCAUCUAAGCGGGAAGCCUCCCUCAAGAUGAGUUUUCCCAUGAAGCCCGUUGAAGACUACGACGUUGAUAGGCAAGGUGUGGAAGCGCAGUAAUGCGUGAAGCUAACUUGUACUAAUUGGCUGAUUGUCUUGACCAUAUAAUCUGAG